rnacentral:rRNA from 1 species
UGGGGAAUAUUGCGCAAUGGGCGAAAGCCUGACGCAGCGACGCCGCGUGAGGGAUGAAGGUCCUCGGAUCGUAAACCUCUGUCAGGGGGGUGAAGAAGCGCCUGUGAGCAAAUAGUUCAUGGGUUUGACGGUACCCCCAAAGGCAAGCACCGGCUAACUCCGUGCCAGCAGCCGCGGUAAUACGGAGGGUGCGAGCGUUAAUCGGAAUCACUGGGCGUAAAGCGCACGUAGGUGGCGUGGUAAGUCGGGGGCUGAAAUCCCACAGCUCAACUGUGGAACUGCCUUCGAUACUGUCAUGCUUGAGUAUCGGAGAGGGUGGCGGAAUUCCAGGUGUAGGAGUGAAAUCCGUAGAUAUCUGGAAGAACACCGGUGGCGAAGGCGGCCACCUGGACGAAAACUGACGCUGAGGUGCGAAAGCGUGGGGUAGCAAACAGGAUUAGAUACC